rnacentral:tRNA from 1 species
GGGCACGUAGCUCAGUCCGGAUAGAGCGUCGGACUUCUAUUCGCGGCAGCACGGCUGUCGGGAGAAGACAUCCGACGGUCGUGGGUUCGAAUCCCACCGUGCCCG